GGAGUUUGAUCCUGGCUCAGGAUGAACGCUGGCGGCGUGCCUAAUACAUGCAAGUCGAACGCUUCACUUCGGUGAAGAGUGGCGAACGGGUGAGUAAUACAUAAGUAACCUGGCAUCUACAGGGGGAUAACUGAUGGAAACGUCAGCUAAGACCGCAUAGGUGUAGAGAUCGCAUGAACUCUAUAUGAAAAGUGCUACGGGACUGGUAGAUGAUGGACUUAUGGCGCAUUAGCUUGUUGGUAGGGUAACGGCCUACCAAGGCGACGAUGCGUAGCCGACCUGAGAGGGUGACCGGCCACACUGGGACUGAGACACGGCCCAGACUCCUACGGGAGGCAGCAGUAGGGAAUUUUCGGCAAUGGGGGAAACCCUGACCGAGCAACGCCGCGUGAAGGAAGAAGUAAUUCGUUAUGUAAACUUCUGUCAUAGAGGAAGAACGGUGGAUAUAGGGAAUGAUAUCCAAGUGACGGUACUCUAUAAGAAAGCCACGGCUAACUACGUGCCAGCAGCCGCGGUAAUACGUAGGUGGCGAGCGUUAUCCGGAAUUAUUGGGCGUAAAGAGGGAGCAGGCGGCACUAAGGGUCUGUGGUGAAAGAUCGAAGCUUAACUUCGGUAAGCCAUGGAAACCGUAGAGCUAGAGUGUGUGAGAGGAUCGUGGAAUUCCAUGUGUAGCGGUGAAAUGCGUAGAUAUAUGGAGGAACACCAGUGGCGAAGGCGACGAUCUGGCGCAUAACUGACGCUCAGUCCCGAAAGCGUGGGGAGCAAAUAGGAUUAGAUACCCUAGUAGUCCACGCCGUAAGCGAUGAGUACUAAGUGUUGGGGGUCAAACCUCAGUGCUGCAGUUAACGCAAUAAGUACUCCGCCUGAGUAGUACGUUCGCAAGAAUGAAACUCAAAGGAAUUGACGGGGGCCCGCACAAGCGGUGGAGCAUGUGGUUUAAUUCGAAGCAACGCGAAGAACCUUACCAGGUCUUGACAUCGAUCUAAAGGCUCCAGAGAUGGAGAGAUAGCUAUAGAGAAGACAGGUGGUGCAUGGUGUCGUCAGCUCGUGUCGUGAGAUGUUGGGUUAAGUCCCGCAAUGAGCGCAACCCCUGUUGCCAGUUGCCAGCAUUAAGUUGGGGACUCUGGCGAGACUGCCGGUGACAAGCCGGAGGAAGGCGGGGAUGACGUCAAAUCAUCAUGCCCCUUAUGACCUGGGCUACACACGUGCUACAAUGGACAGAGCAGAGGGAAGCGAAGCCGCGAGGUGGAGCGAAACCCAUAAAACUGUUCUCAGUUCGGACUGCAGUCUGCAACUCGACUGCACGAAGAUGGAAUCGCUAGUAAUCGCGAAUCAGCAUGUCGCGGUGAAUACGUUCUCGGGCCUUGUACACACCGCCCGUCACACCAUGAGAGUCGGUAACACCCGAAGCCGGUGGCCUAACCGCAAGGAAGGAGCUGUCUAAGGUGGGACUGAUGAUUGGGGUGAAGUCGGAACAUGGUA
rnacentral:rRNA from 1 species